rnacentral:tRNA from 1 species
GGCUCGUUGGUCAAGAGGUUAAGACACCGCCCUUUCACGGCGGUAACAGGGGUUCAACCAUUUGUGGGAUC